rnacentral:rRNA from 1 species
CCUACGGGGGGCUGCAGUAAGGAAUAUUGGACAAUGGGCGCAAGCCUGAUCCAGCCAUGCCGCGUGAAGGAUGAAGGCCCUAUGGGUCGUAAACUUCUUUUAUACGGGACAAAACCCCCCGACGUGUCGGGGGUUGAUGGUACUGUAAGAAUAAGGGUCGGCUAACUUCGUGCCAGCAGCCGCGGUAAUACGAAGGACCCAAGCGUUAUCCGGAUUUAUUGGGUUUAAAGGGUGCGUAGGCGGAUUAGUAAGUCAGUGGUGAAAGCCCAUCGCUCAACGGUGGAACUGCCAUUGAUACUGCUAGUCUUGAGUAUGGUUGAGGUGGGCGGAAUGUGUCAUGUAGCGGUGAAAUGCUUAGAUAUGACACAGAACACCAAUUGCGAAGGCAGCUCGCUAAGCCAUAACUGACGCUGAGGCACGAAAGCGUGGGGAGCAAACAGGAUUAGAUACCCCGGUAGUC